GUUCUGGCCAGGAGACACAUUUAUUAUUUACAAGAAAUAAUUACAAAAUACACUUGAGAAAAAAAAACUUCUUCAUUCUGAAAUAAAAACACAUUAAUAGUAUUUCAACAACAAUUCAUUUAUUAGUAUCCAACUUUACCAAUCUUGUCCAUUAAACACAACAAAUAGCAUGAUUCCCGUGUAAUCAGUUAUGUAAUUAGACACGUGUCAAACGGUUCAUUGAUUUUCGGCACAUCAAAGAAAUACAGGCACGUGUCUAAGUAAUGUUGAAUAUCUUAUUUAUCUAUGAUUUUUUUUCUACAAAAAUUGAA
rnacentral:lncRNA from 1 species